UAAGACGAAAAGGCUGCUGGGAAGGUUACCUCCACCCCUCUCCCUAUGAGAAGGAAAAUCUUGGAGAAACGGGGAGAGGCGGGGAAUCCCACGUGUUGUGGAAAGUUGGACUGAAUAAAAGGACAGAGCUGACCGAGCAGAAAAGGUGGAAUCCCACUCUCUGGCUAACCUGCCACCCUGUUGCCAGCCGGAAUGCUGAAGAAACCCCCUCCCCCAAGUGCCUGAAUUUCCCCCAUUAGAUAUUGAAUCACAGAACUUCGGAAUUGGAAGGGACCUCACAUUCCAUAGUCAAUAAAUUAGCCAGCAGUUAUUAGCGAUCCGCUGUAUGUUUGCUCGGUGAUGGACCAACUCCUAUCGGAAUGAGAAGACCUCAACAAAGGCUCUGACAAGUGUUUAUCCAGUCUUCGAAAACUUCUAGUGAGGGGGAAUUUACUUCUGGAGGCAACCCAUUUUUAGCCAAAGGAAAAACACCAAAUGAAAAAAAAAAUCCUAUUGUCAAUAACGAUGAAAAAAAAUGCCCCAAAGCAUCACUGAUAAGUGGAAGUCAACUUCACCGGGCAAAUUUUCAAAGUUGACAAAAGUUGGAAAUAGCAUCAAAGAUUUAUCAGCCGGCAUAGAUGGUUUAAAGAACGAACUUGCCCCCAAAGAAGGGAUAUAUAAAGAUACCUCUUCCACUGGGGAGAUGGGAUUAUUCACAGGGAAUGGCUCUCUGAAAGAGAGAAGGAAGGAAUAGAGAGGUAAAUCUGGGCAAUGUAAAAACAAAACUUAUCAAUAAAAAUACAUUUAAAAAGAAGGCA
ensembl:lncRNA